UCCGGUUUGUCACCGGCGGUCUCCUUAGAGUUCCCACCAUUACGUGCUGGCAACUAAGGACAAGGGUUGCGCUCGUUGCGGGACUUAACCCAACAUCUCACGACACGAGCUGACGACAGCCAUGCACCACCUGUGCACCGGCCCCGAAGGGCUGCCGUAUUUCUACGACAUUCCAGUGCAUGUCAAGCCCUGGUAAGGUUCUUCGCGUUGCGUCGAAUUAAGCCACAUGCUCCGCCGCUUGUGCGGGUCCCCGUCAAUUCCUUUGAGUUUUAGCCUUGCGGCCGUACUCCCCAGGCGGGGCACUUAGCGCGUUAGCUUCGGCACGGAGGGAGUCGACACCCCCCACACCUAGUGCCCAUCGUUUACAGCGUGGACUAC
rnacentral:misc_RNA from 1 species